UACGUAGGUGGCAAGCGUUGUCCGGAUUUACUGGGCGUAAAGAGCGCGCAGGCGGCUGGUCAAGUCCGAUGUGAAAUCUCCCGGCUCAACUGGGAAACUGCAUCGGAAACUGAUCGGCUUGAAGAUGGGAGAGGGUAGCGGAAUUCCCGGUGUAGUGGUGAAAUGCGUAGAUAUCGGGAGGAACACCAGUGGCGAAGGCGGCUACCUGGCCCACUCUUGACGCUGAGGCGCGAAAGCUAGGUGAGCAAACGGG
rnacentral:rRNA from 1 species